GACGAACGCUGGCGGCGUGCCUAAUACAUGCAAGUCGAGCGAGCGGAACUAACAGAUUUACUUCGGUAAUGACGUCAGGAAAGCGAGCGGCGGAUGGGUGAGUAACACGUGGGGAACCUGCCCCAUAGUCUGGGAUACCACUUGGAAACAGGUGCUAAUACCGGAUAAGAAAGCAGAUCGCAUGAUCAGCUUUUAAAAGGCGGCGUAAGCUGUCGCUAUGGGAUGGCCCCGCGGUGCAUUAGCUAGUUGGUAAGGUAAAGGCUUACCAAGGCGAUGAUGCAUAGCCGAGUUGAGAGACUGAUCGGCCACAUUGGGACUGAGACACGGCCCAA
rnacentral:rRNA from 1 species